rnacentral:rRNA from 1 species
UACGUAGGGUGCAAGCGUUAUGCCGGAUUUAUUGGGCGUAAAGAGCUCGUAGGCGGUUUGUCGCGUCUGGUGUGAAAGCCCGCAGCUUAACUGCGGGUCUGCGCCGGCUACGGGCAGGCUUGAGUGCAGUAGGGGAGACUGGAAUUCCCGGUGUAACGGUGGAAUGUGUAGAUAUCGGGAAGAACACCAAUGGCGAAGGCAGGUCUCUGGGCUGUUACUGACGCUGAGGAGCGAAAGCGUGGGGAGCGAACAGG